rnacentral:lncRNA from 1 species
GGGAAUUUCAGGCUAUUUGUGACUCCCUACCUUCUCCACCCCACCCCACACACACAGUGUUUAGGGAGGAGAGGGCAGAGCCUUUGGAUCAGAGUAAUCUGUUUCUAACCCACUUCUAUUCUCAGGGAUUACUUCUAGGGGGAGGGGGAGGGAGAGGGAAAGAGAAAUAAAUCUCAGCGCCUUCGUGCUUGAGAAUGUGAGGAGGAAACUCCAGAUGUGCCUUUGCGGCAGUAGGCAUUCCACGAACCUGGGAGCUCUCUCCAUUCCCAGCGUCCACAGGCUGGAAAGGCAAAGCCUAAACUGGGGUUUGGCAAUAAUAGGCACUGAAUGAAAGAGUGGGAAGUUCAUGGCUUGUGUGCAGAUGAAGGAACAGUUGCGAUUAAAGACAUCAGCAACACUGACAGAGGAAGGCACCUUCUGAAGUCUUCUACCCAAGGUGAGUCAAACACCUUGCCUGUUUAUCUGGAAUGGUGGGAGGAAAGGGAAGACAGGAGGGCAAAGGGCAGUUGGGAAAAGUUCCAAGGCCUCUGAGUGUGUGUUUCUGCAUGUGGGAGUGGUUGUGUGAAAUGCUAAUUCCUGCUAUUUCUUGGCAGCUUUUCUGGAAACUGUGAUGACAGCUCCUGGUGGGAAAAAUCACCAAUGAUCACAGUAUUGUCUUGCUUCUAGGUAACUGGCUGUCACCUGAACUGUUUCCUAUGGCAGAUUGACUACUGAAGAUUCAUUUCUUUUCUCUUGCUCAUUUGAUAGAGUUAGGGCAUUAUUUUCACUGUUUGAUAGCUCUUGUUUUGGGUAGAGAGAAAGGUUCAUGUUUCUUUUUGUUGUUUUUGUUUUUAUUUUGUUUUCUUUCUUUUGAGACGGGGUCUCACUAUGCAGCUUAGGCUGGCCUGGAACUUGUUAUAUGCAGACCAGGUUAACCUCCUAUUCCCAGCAAUAUUGCUCUUCUGCCUCUGCCUCCUGAGAGUUGAGAAGCUCAUUUUUAAAGAGCAGUGAGCCAAUAGCCACAAUCUCAAUAUUAGCCAGAGAGCUUAUUGAAGAAUGAAAAGCCCUAGAGAGGAGACCAAGUCCACAGAGAAGACAAAGUUUUUCUGUGUGUCUGUCUAUUUAUUUUCCUGAGAUAAAGUUUCUCUGUGUAGCUCUGGCUGUCCUGGAAUUCACUUUGUUGACCACAAUGGCUUCAAACUCAGAGAUCUGCCUGCCUCUGCUUCCCAAGUGUUGGGAUUAAAGGCGUGGGCCAUCAUAUCCAGAGAUGGUUUAAAAUUUUUUAACUUUUAAUUUUAUGUGUACAGGUGUUUUGUUUGCAUGUAUGUCUAAGCACAACACGAAAACAGUGUCUUGGGAGGUCAAAAGAGGGCAUCAGAUCCCCUGGAAAUAGAGUUAUAGGUGGUUGUGAGCUGCCUGGUGGGUUCUGAGAACAGAACAUGGACCUCUUGGAAGAGCAGCCAGUACUCUUAACCCCUGAGCCAUCUCUUUAUCCCCUAAAGUAGAUAAAAAACAAAACCAACAAAAACCACCUUUCCUUUUUUCCCCCUUUUUGUUGAAAUGGAUUGAAUGUAGCCUAGCCUGGCCUUGAACUCACUAGGUAGCUAAGGCUGGCACUGAACUCUGGACCCUCCUGCUCCAGCUCCCCAGUGCUAAAUUACUGUGUGACAGACAGUUUCUCUCUUUAGGGUAUGCUCUAACUAGCUUUAGACGUUCCCGGGAUAUCUUUAGUUCAUUUAUUUGUGUGACAGGAAUUUGGUCUCUCCAAGAUAUUAUGAAAAGGAAAAGAAAAGAAGCUGAGCAUGGUGACAUACACCUGUAAUCCCAGCACCUCGAGACAGAGGCAGGAGGAUCAUUAAAAGUUAAAGGCCAGCUUUUAUCUUUUUUGAGACCCUAUCUCAAAAGAAAACAAAAGUUUUUUUAAAAAAAGGAAUAAAUGAUAUUUAAACUCCUAAGAAAGUAAUACC